UGGGGAAUAUUGGACAAUGGGGGGAACCCUGAUCCAGCCAUGCCGCGUGUGUGAAGAAGGCCUUAUGGUUGUAAAGCACUUUAAGCGAGGAGGAGACUACUAGUAUUAAUACUACUGGAUAGUGGACGUUACUCGCAGAAUAAGCACCGGCUAACUCUGUGCCAGCAGCCGCGGUAAUACAGAGGGUGCGAGCGUUAAUCGGAUUUACUGGGCGUAAAGCGUGCGUAGGCGGCCAUUUAAGUCAAAUGUGAAUCCCGAGCUUAACUUGGGAAUUGCAUUCGAUACUGGAUGGCUAGAGUAUGGGAGGAGGAUGGUAGAAUUCCAGGUGUAGCGGUGAAAUGCGUAGAGAUCUGGAGGAAUACCGAUGGCGAAGGCAGCCAUCUGGCCUAAUACUGACGCUGAGGUACGAAAGCAUGGGGAGCAAACGGAUUAGAUACCCUGGUAGUCCAUGCCGUAAACGAUGUCUACUAGCCGUUGGGGCCUUUGAGGCUUUAGUGGCGCAGCUAACGCGAUAAGUAGA
rnacentral:rRNA from 1 species